AUUAAACCUCCGCUCCCAAACUCUUCAUGUGUGUCCAUGUCCUAAAUUUUCCUGGUGCGAGAUGACGAACCCCAGGUAUUUACCCCAGACAACAUAGCAGCUUCAUAAUGGGGACCUUGUCCGGAUACCAAGGUACAACUUUCAUCAAAACGGCCGGAUUCUCAGAACUGGCAAUGUACCUCCAAGAUGGCCCCAACAACCCAUGUCUUCUUGUACUCAUGCCUGCUAUGCACCAAAUGCUUGUGUGUCUUCUCAUUGAAGCCCUAACCCCUAAUGUGGUGGAUUUGGAGGUAAUUGGGUUUGAGGAGGUCAUAAGGAUAGAGUCCCCAUGAUGGAAUUAGUUUCCUUGUAAGAGGCUGAAGAGGCCAGAGCUCACUCUCUCCACCAUGUGAGGACAAAAUGAGAAGGCGGCCAUCUGUACACCAGGAAGAGGUCCCUCACCAGAACCCAACCAUGCUGGCACCUUGAUCUCAAACUUCCAUGUUCCAAAGCUGGGAGCAAUAAAUUCCUGUUGUUUAAGCCAUUCAGCCUGCAAUAUUCUGUUAUGGCAGCUACAAAUGACUAAGACACUGCCCCCGUGCAGUCGCCUUCCACCCUGAACCAGGCUAGCCCAAGUAGACAAUAGAAUAUGGCAGAAGCGGCCAGGCACAGUGGCUUACGCCUGUAAUCCCAACACUUUGGGAGGCUGACUUGGGCAGAUCACCUGAGGUCGGGAGUUCCAGACCAGCCUGACCAACAUGGAGAAACCCCAUCUCUACUAAAAAUACAAAAUUAGCCGGGUGUGGUGGCACGUGCCUGUAAUCCCAGCUACUCAGGAGGCUGAGGCAGGGGAAUCGCUUGAACCUGGGAGGUGCAGGUUGCGGUGAGCCGAGAUCGUGCCAUCGCACUCCAGCGUGGGCAACAAGAGCGAAACUCCGUCUCAAAAAAAAAAAAAAGAAAAAAAAAGAAUAUAGCAGAAGUGACCCCGUGUGACUUUCAAGGCUGGGUCAUUAAAGGCAUUGCAGCUUCUCCCUUGAGUUUCUUGAAUCGCUCAAUCUGUGAGAAGCCAGCUGCCGUGCUGAGGACACCCCAACAGCCUGUGGAGACGCCCACCUGACAAGGAGCUGAGGCUUCCUGCCAACAGCCAGCACCGGUUUGUCAGCCAUGUGGGUGAAACGCCUUGGAAGUGGAUGUGAGAUCUCAGUCAAGCCUUCAUCCGAUUGCAGACUCACGAGAGACCUCCAACCAGAGCCACACAGCCAGGCUGCUCCCAAAUUCCUAACCCACAGGAGAUAAGAGGUAAUCAAUGACUUUGGUGUUUUAGGCCAAUAUGUUCUGAGUGAUUUGUCCCAUAGCAGUGGAGCUAAUAAUACUAGAUCAAAGACCAGAGGAUUCUUAAGAUUCAUGAUCUAGAAUUC
rnacentral:lncRNA from 10 species